AUCCGUCAAAAUGCUGCCCUCUCCGGCUGCAACCGAUUCUUCUCCAAUAAAGCUGUGAGAAGGAUACUUUUCUUUUAUUAAUGAGAUAAUGAAGUUUUCUACUUUUUGAUCAGUUUCAGUCACUAGAUCCACUGGUGAACUUUUAAUCAUAAUGGAUUUUUCUUCUUUGAGUGCUCCACGGAUCAUUUCUCCAGCUUUCUUUGCCAACGUAACUGCAUAAUCCAUACAUUCUUGCCAAGGAUCUGCCAUGUUUUCUUCAAUGUACAGCCUCACGGCUCCGAGCUCCGUUAACCACCGCCGCUGCUC
rnacentral:lncRNA from 1 species